rnacentral:rRNA from 1 species
AAUCAACGCUGGCGGCGUGCCUCAGACAUGCAAGUCGAACGAUUAAGACUUCCUUCGGGAAGUGCAUAAAGUGGCGCAUGGGUGAGUAACACGUAAGUAAUCUACCCUCGAGUGGGGAAUAACGUUCGGAAACGGACGCUAAUACCGCAUAAUGCAGCGGCAUCGCAAGAUGACAGUUGUUAAAGGAGUAAUUCGCUUGAGGAGGAGCUUGCGGCAGAUUAGCUAGUUGGUAAGGUAACGGCUUACCAAGGCUACGAUCCGUAUCCGGUCUAAGAGGACGGUCGGACACACUGACGCUGAAUAACGGGUCAGACUGCUACGGGAGGCAGCAGUCGGGAAUUUUGGGCAAUGGGCGAAAGCCUGACCCAGCAACGCCGCGUGAAGGAUGAAGUAUUUCGGUAUGUAAACUUCGAAAGAAUGGGAAGAAUAAAUGACGGUACCAUUUAUAAGCUCCGGCUAACUACGUGCCAGCCGCCGCAGUAAGAC